GACGAACGCUGGCGGCGUGCCUAACACAUGCAAGUCGAGCGGGGUUGAAGCGAGGGGUAACUCGAGUUUCUACCUAGCGGCGGACGGGUGAGUAACGCGUGGGCAACCUGCCUCAAGGACUGGGAUAACAGCUCGAAAGGGCUGCUAAUACCGGAUAAGCCUAUGGCCUCGCAUGGGGCCAUGAGCAAAGGGGAAACCCGCCUUGAGAUGGGCCCGCGUCCCAUCAGCUAGUUGGUGAGGUGAAGGCUCACCAAGGCGACGACGGGUAGCCGGCCUGAGAGGGUGACCGGCCACACUGGGACUGAGACACGGCCCAGACUCCUACGGGGGGCAGCAGUGGGGAAUCUUGCACAAUGGGCGAAAGCCUGAUGCAGCGACGCCGCGUGAGCGAAGAAGGCCUUCGGUUGUAAGCUCUGUCUGGAGGGACGGAAGGAAGUGACGGUACCUCCGGAGGAAGCCACGGCGUAACUACGUGCCAGCAGCCGGUAAACGUAAGCGUG
rnacentral:rRNA from 1 species